CUAAAGUUUACUUUCCCCUUCAUCGCUAAAAUGUCUACACCAAAGAUUUGCAGACUCUGAGAAGAACGAAGCUCCAAUUGCCAUUGUGAUCUAUUGCUGGCUAUAAAAAAUAUUCCCCAAACCCAUCGACAAACCCUUGAAGAAAUCCCUAUCUUUUGAAACCCUAUAUUGCGAACCUCCACUGCAAGCACCACUGCCGCCCACCGAAACUCCAAACCUCCACCGCAAGCGACCAUGUCAAAAUAGGUUAUCCUUGGUUGAUCCAUUAGGCUUUCACUGCUCCUAUCCCUUGCAGAUUAGAUUGUAGAUGAUCAUUGCCUUGGAGAACUCUUGGUUUCACUCUUAAGAACAACAUCUUUGUGGUCGCAUGCUUUUGGCCCUUCUUUUGGUCUUGAGGCGGUGGACCUUGACAUUACCUUGGAACCAUGGAGGGUGCUAGUUGUGUGGUUACUAUCUUGGUUGGGAAGAUUCUUGCUUCAAAGUGUAUCUCUACAGACUGCAAUCACCAUCUCUGAAGUGCUCACAGUGAUGUAGUCCUUUCUUAAAUAGUGUUGGUAUGUCAGAUUGAAGCUAAUCUAUACCUUUUGUAGAUGAACAAUGAAGAGAAAUUCCCUUAUGUUUUUCAUUGUUGUCUGUAACACACUGCUUAGCUUACAUUGAUAGGAUUUGUAGUGACAAGAUGUUUCAAUUUACAGGAGAAGCUUAUUUAUGAUGAUGGCUAUGCCAUUCAGAUA